CCGUGCCUACGGGAGGCAGCAGUGGGGAAUAUUGGGCAAUGGGCGCAAGCCUGACCCAGCGACGCCGCGUGAGGGAAGACGGUCUUCGGAUUGUAAACCUCUUUCAGCAGGGAAGACAAAAGGACGGUACCUGCAGAAGAAGCCACGGCUAACUACGUGCCAGCAGCCGCGGUAAUACGUAGGUGGCAAGCGUUAUCCGGAUUUACUGGGUGUAAAGGGCGUGUAGGCGGGACUGCAAGUCAGAUGUGAAAAUUAUGGGCUCAACCCAUAACCUGCAUUUGAAACUGUAGUUCUUGAGUUGUGGG
rnacentral:rRNA from 1 species